rnacentral:lncRNA from 1 species
AUGGGGAUAUAAUUCCUCCCCUUCUUUGUUUUUAAAGAAGUUAUAGUUUUUAAAGUUUCACAAUACUUUGACUUUGAGAAAUAUAUAAAAAAAAUUUCAGUAGCAUGGGUAACUUUAAAUUGUUGAUAAAACAUGUCAAAUACUUGACAGCUAUAGCCAGUUCUAAUAUCUGUUUUAGUCUGAUUUGGAACACCAAGUAUAUAAAAAAAUUUUUUUUAACAUAGGCAAUGACACUUUUAGUUGUUUCUCUUGUGGAGUAGUUGUAACUAGAAAGCCUGAAAAGGUAUCAAUAGUCACAUGUGUAUAUUUUAUAUAUUUAUUUACUUAUUAAUCAGAAAUAAGAGUAUCUAUUUGCAACAGUUAAGUAUAGGUCCUCAAGAAUUAACACCAUUAUAUGGAAACAAGUAGAAAUGGAGGACACUAAGAACAAAGUUUUACAAUUCGACACGUACGUUUUUUUAAAAUACCAAAAUAUUACCUUAAGCCAUUACUAUUUUGAUGAUGUAAAGAAUGAGAUUUUAUGGCCGGUUAUUUUUGUGUAAGGUCUAUAAUCUGCCUGGGAUAUACAAGCAUCUAGAACAAAAAUUUUAAAUGUCCAAAGACAGUCUUUUUAAAGGAAUAGCAUUUUUUUAUGAGUAGUAUAUGAAUAAACAGUUGCAAAUUUGAGAAUUCAUAGUAUGUGAGAGACAAACAAUUUUAAGCAAUUGUAAUCUCUGAUAUAUAUAUAUGUGUGUGUGUAUCAAAUUAAAGUUUGUUUAUUUUAACAUUUUAAAACACCAUCUAUAGCACACAAUUUAAUUAUUUGUGCUGAAGCAGGAGGAAACACAAAAGAAUAAACAUGAUCCAAUCACAUACACUUUUUUUCCCAUAGAAGGGCUGUUUUUAAAUAUAGUAAAUGGGAUGCAUGCAUGAAUUUAUAGAAAAUAAAAAAGAAUGCAUAAAAGCAAUUUUAACAGCUUAUCUUUAGGUUAAUGAUUAUCAAUUUUAUCUAAAAGUUUGUUAGGCAAUAGGUCAAAUAUCAAUAUUUUGCAAUAACCAAUUUAAUUGCUGUUUGGAACAAGGAACAGACACUUUGUCAGGUUUUUAAGACACAGUUUUUGUUAUAGUUUUUUAAAAAUACAUGAAUUUAUCUUACAAUUUUUUAUUAGCACCACAGCAGUCUUAUAAUAGGAUGUUAAAACUUUACUUGGAGAUGAAGAAAGAUGAUUUUACAUUAAUGGGUUGGUUUUUUUUUUUUUUUUUGUCAAAGAAUUGCUGUGGGCACAUUUAAUAACCAUAAAUAAAAUAAGUAGCUAAUAUUUAAUUACCAUUGAUUAUAAUUGAUAACAAUUAUAAAAGCUUUUAAAAUUUUUUUUGUAAAGCCUUUUGUUCUUUACUAGUUAAUUGUAUCUCUCUUGAUAACAUCUAACAAAGGUUUAAGUCACUUUAAGACCUUAAGGUGAGGUUUUAGCCAAUUAACAUCUCCUGGGAGCUUUUGAG